rnacentral:rRNA from 1 species
UACUACGGCCAUGCCACCCUGAACAUGCCCGAUCUUGUCUGAUCUUGGAAGCUAAGCAGGGUCGGGCCUUGUUAGUACUUGGAUGGGAGACCAUCUAGGAAUACCAGGUGCUGUAAGCG